rnacentral:rRNA from 1 species
UGAGGAAUAUUGGUCAAUGGGCGAGAGCCUGAACCAGCCAAGUAGCGUGAAGGAUGAAGGCUCUAUGGGUCGUAAACUUCUUUUAUAUGGGAAUAAAGUUUUCCACGUGUGGAAUUUUGUAUGUACCAUAUGAAUAAGGAUCGGCUAACUCCGUGCCAGCAGCCGCGGUAAUACGGAGGAUCCGAGCGUUAUCCGGAUUUAUUGGGUUUAAAGGGAGCGUAGGUGGAUUGUUAAGUCAGUUGUGAAAGUUUGCGGCUCAACCGUAAAAUUGCAGUUGAAACUGGGAGUCUUGAGUACAGUAGAGGUGGGCGGAAUUCGUGGUGUAGCGGUGAAAUGCUUAGAUAUCACGAAGAACUCCGAUUGCGAAGGCAGCUCACUAGACUGUCACUGACACUGAUGCUCGAAAGUGUGGGUAUCAAACAGG